rnacentral:rRNA from 1 species
UACAGAGGGUGCGAGCGUUAAUCGGAAUUACUGGGCGUAAAGCGCGCGUAGGCGGCUUUGCAAGUCGGGUGUGAAAUCCCCAGGCUUAACCUGGGAACUGCAUUCGAGACUGCAUUGCUAGAGUAUGGGAGAGGGAAGUGGAAUUUCCGGUGUAGCGGUGAAAUGCGUAGAGACUCGGAAGAACACCAGUGGCGAAGGCGGCUACCUGGACGGGUACUGACGCUGCAGCGCGAAAGCUAGGGGAGCAAACAGG